rnacentral:rRNA from 1 species
GAUGAACGCUGGCGGCGUGCCUAAUACAUGCAAGUCGAGCGAACAGACGAGGAGCUUGCUCCUCUGACGUUAGCGGCGGACGGGUGAGUAACACGUGGAUAACCUACCUAUAAGACUGGGAUAACUUCGGGAAACCGGAGCUAAUACCGGAUAAUAUAUUGAACCGCAUGGUUCAAUAGUGAAAGACGGUUUUGCUGUCACUUAUAGAUGGAUCCGCGCCGCAUUAGCUAGUUGGUAAGGUAACGGCUUACCAAGGCAACGAUGCGUAGCCGACCUGAGAGGGUGAUCGGCCACACUGGAACUGAGACCCGGUCCAGACUCCGACGGGAGGCAGCAGUAGGGAAUCUUCCGCAAUGGGCGAAAGCCUGACGGAGCAACGCCGCGUGAGUGAUGAAGGUCUUCGGAUCGUAAAACUCUGUUAUUAGGGAAGAACAAAUGUGUAAGUAACUAUGCACGUCUUGACGGUACCUAAUCAGAAAGCCACGGCGAACUACGU